rnacentral:lncRNA from 1 species
CUCCUGACCCUUGUAGGUGUCAGCCAGGUUGAGCUUGGUGAGGAUGCGGCGAGCCACCAGCAGACCCACGCAGUAGGCAGCGGAGUAGUUGGUCAGGCCGACCUGUGUGCAGCAUGAGGGUGCAAGGGUGUUUUCUCUUGCUUCUUGAUGCAAUGCCCAGACAUGAAACCUGUGCACGAUGUCACUGCAGGCAGAUUGCUAGCACACAGUGCAGGCAAAAAACCUAACAAGUUGUUCCUAUGGCAUGCAUGCGAUGCAAGUAUGUUGGCCUCCAUGUUUGCUAAUGCAAGUCUGCCCGCCUCCAUGCAUGCCCACCUUCAGGCCAUAGUUGGGCAGCUCCUUGGAGUAGGCAGCAGCCAUGACAACAUCACCCUGGAUGGUGGAGUACACAAUCUGGCAGGUGACGUUCUUGUUGGAGAAGCGCACCACCAGGCGGUACUUGUGGGUGUUGUACUUGUUCUUGUCCUGGCGGACCAGCCUCAGGCGAGCCCGGUAGUCGGUCUUGCCCUGACGACGACGGCGG